rnacentral:rRNA from 1 species
GUCGAACGGUGAAGCCCUUCGGGUGGAUCAGUGGCGAACGGGUGAGUAACACGUGGGCAAUCUGCCCUGCACUCUGGGACAAGCCCUGGAAACGGGGUCUAAUACCGGAUAUUACCUGAGGAUGCAUGUUCUCGGGUGGAAAGCUCCGGCGGUGCAGGAUGAGCCCGCGGCCUAUCAGCUUGUUGGUGGGGUGAUGGCCUACCAAGGCGACGACGGGUAGCCGGCCUGAGAGGGCGACCGGCCACACUGGGACUGAGACACGGCCCAGACUCCUACGGGAGGCAGCAGUGGGGAAUAUUGCACAAUGGGCGAAAGCCUGAUGCAGCGACGCCGCGUGAGGGAUGACGGCCUUCGGGUUGUAAACCUCUUUCAGCAGGGAAGAAGCGCAAGUGACGGUACCUGCAGAAGAAGCACCGGCUAACUACGUGCCAGCAGCCGCGGUAAUACGUAGGGUGCGAGCGUUGUCCGGAAUUAUUGGGCGUAAAGAGCUCGUAGGCGGCUUGUCGCGUCGGAUGUGAAAGCCCGGGGCUUAACUCCGGGUCUGCAUUCGAUACGGGCAGGCUAGAGUUCGGUAGGGGAGAUCGGAAUUCCUGGUGUAGCGGUGAAAUGCGCAGAUAUCAGGAGGAACACCGGUGGCGAAGGCGGAUCUCUGGGCCGAUACUGACGCUGAGGAGCGAAAGCGUGGGGAGCGAACAGGAUUAGAUACCCUGGUAGUCCACGCCGUAAACGUUGGGAACUAGGUGUGGGCGACAUUCCACGUUGUCCGUGCCGCAGCUAACGCAUUAAGUUCCCCGCCUGGGGAGUACGGCCGCAAGGCUAAAACUCAAAGGAAUUGACGGGGGGCCCGCACAGCGGCGGAGCAUGUGGCU